rnacentral:rRNA from 1 species
CCCUGGCUCAGGACGAACGCUGGCGGCGUGCCUAAUACAUGCAAGUCGAGCGAAUCGAUGGGAGCUUGCUCCCUGAGAUUAGCGGCGGACGGGUGAGUAACACGUGGGCAACCUGCCUAUAAGACUGGGAUAACUUCGGGAAACCGGAGCUAAUACCGGAUACGUUCUUUUCUCGCAUGAGAGAAGAUGGAAAGACGGUUUACGCUGUCACUUAUAGAUGGGCCCGCGGCGCAUUAGCUAGUUGGUGAGGUAAUGGCUCACCAAGGCGACGAUGCGUAGCCGACCUGAGAGGGUGAUCGGCCACACUGGGACUGAGACACGGCCCAGACUCCUACGGGAGGCAGCAGUAGGGAAUCUUCCGCAAUGGACGAAAGUCUGACGGAGCAACGCCGCGUGAACGAAGAAGGCCUUCGGGUCGUAAAGUUCUGUUGUUAGGGAAGAACAAGUACCAGAGUAACUGCUUGGUACCUUGACGGUACCUAACCAGAAAGCCACGGC